rnacentral:rRNA from 1 species
AGAGUUUGAUCAUGGCUCAGAGCGAACGCUGGCGGCAGGCUUAACACAUGCAAGUCGAGCGGGCGUAGCAAUACGUCAGCGGCAGACGGGUGAGUAACGCGUGGGAACAUACCUUUUGGUUCGGAACAACACAGGGAAACUUGUGCUAAUACCGGAUAAGCCCUUACGGGGAAAGAUUUAUCGCCGAAAGAUUGGCCCGCGUCUGAUUAGCUAGUUGGUGAGGUAACGGCUCACCAAGGCGACGAUCAGUAGCUGGUCUGAGAGGAUGAUCAGCCACAUUGGGACUGAGACACGGCCCAAACUCCUACGGGAGGCAGCAGUGGGGAAUAUUGGACAAUGGGCGCAAGCCUGAUCCAGCCAUGCCGCGUGAGUGAUGAAGGCCCUAGGGUUGUAAAGCUCUUUUGUGCGGGAAGAUAAUGACGGUACCGCAAGAAUAAGCCCCGGCUAACUUCGUGCCAGCAGCCGCGGUAAUACGAAGGGGGCUAGCGUUGCUCGGAAUCACUGGGCGUAAAGGGUGCGUAGGCGGGUCUUUAAGUCAGGGGUGAAAUCCUGGAGCUCAACUCCAGAACUGCCUUUGAUACUGAGGACCUUGAGUUCGGGAGAGGUGAGUGGAACUGCGAGUGUAGAGGUGAAAUUCGUAGAUAUUCGCAAGAACACCAGUGGCGAAGGCGGCUCACUGGCCCGAUACUGACGCUGAGGCACGAAAGCGUGGGGAGCAAACAGGAUUAGAUACCCUAGUAGUCC